rnacentral:tRNA from 1 species
GUGAGUAUAAUUUAACAAAAAUUCUAGAUUGUGAUUCUAGCAAUAAAGGUUUAAAUCCUUUUACUCACC